GAGGCAGCUACUUGCUUGGCUGAAGAAAUGAGUUUCUCCUGGCUAGCAUGGCCCUGGACAGCUGCAUUGGCUGCUUCACACAGAUUGUUGGUGGCCGCAGCCACCAUACGGGCCUAGUGGGGACAAAGAGUUAAGGUCCCCAGAGCUGAGAUUCCCAGGUCCAGCUUACCGGGCAGCUGCAGCCAGCUGACUCUUGAGGUUGGGAGCAGCAGGGUCUGUGGACAAGGCCUUAGCAGCCAGAAGAAGUUUGCUCGAAGACAUGGAUAUGCCCUUCAAGUUGGACACCACCUGGGCUCGGUCCUCCUGGCUCUGUUGAAGGGAAGGCAUACAUUAUUCUGUUCUACUAGACUAGAGAUGAAGGAACUAGGAGCAGACCCAGAUUCUGAACACCCUACUUUGCUCUCAACUAGACCCUCUGCCCUUCGUACCGGGGCCUGUCCAGCCAUCUCCACACCAGCUUCCAGGAAGGUGCUGAAGUCCUGUCCGAAUCGACCUGAGGCCCGAGCCAGGUCCUGUGGGGUUCCUCGGGAGGCCUGCACCAGCUCUGUGGCCGCCUGAUUUAACCCAGCAGCAGCUUCAUUCAGUCGGCUCUGUGCUUCCUGAAACGUCCCGGUGCUUGGAGGAAGCUGCAGGGUCCGAGGGGAAGUCAGACAGAUGAGUGGGGAUGAUGGGAAGAGAGUUUAGGAAGGGAAGGCAGGCUAGGGAGGAUGGCGCAAAGCCUGGGCUUGUAAGAAGCUACAGACGGCAGGGUCAAAGGACAGGUCAUGAGACAGACAGUCCUACCGAGUCACUCAGGAGUCGCUUGCUGGCAUCUCCAACAGCUCUUAGGGCGUUAUCCACAUCUCUCUGGCCAGGCAGGCAGCUGACACAGCGGUUCAGGGCCUGCGUCACUGCUUUAGCCACCUGAGGUGGGAAAGAAACAGGGUUGCCAAAGGGAGUGAUUUGGGAGAGCCCCUUUUACUCUGGGACAUAGGAGUUAACCAGAGGUCCUGGCACUAAAACAGGCAGAAAGGAACUUCUGUAGCUGAACAAACUGAGGCUAGGGUCACAGACAAUAAUCACACAUCCCAAAAUACCCACAAACAUCCCAAACCCACUGCUCAGCCAGGUUUGUGCCUCAGGCUAACAGAUGCUUCUGUGAGCUGGACUGAAAACACGUGCAGUAGAAGAGCGUGCGCCCUGUUGGGCAGGCCUUGUGAAGAGACCUAAGCAAGGGGUGGGCCCCUUCCCAACACUGACCUGGGCAAGCCUUUGCUGGCUCUCCGGGUCCCCUGGAUGGCCGGAUGCUUUCUUUGCCUCCUCAAUGAGGCUGCUGGCCUUGUCCAGAGCGUCACUGGCUGUGUCAAGCACAAUGGCCUGCACUGCAGGAUCUGUUGUCAGUGCAGCUACACCCCGUGCAGCCUGGGCAAGUGACCUUAGUCCACCUGCUACAUCCCGAGCUGCAAUACCUGGGCACACAGAGAAAGGUUUGCUCUAUCAGCCUCUUCCCCACAAGUUCCCCGUCUCCAGGCGGCAUCCCUCGUCCCAUUCCCAGCCCUGGAUACCUACACACCUGCAUAGUUCUCGUUGCCCUGGGCAAUCUCCCCCAGCAGCUUGGCGAUGGCAGAGCUCACCGCUUUGGUGCUGUUGCCAAGAUCUUGGGUACACUUCUCCAUCUGCAGAUAAGGGGAUGAAGGCUCAGGUGGAGGAGGGGAAGGAAGAGGGGGGAGGGCACCUGAGAAGGUCCUUGGGGAAGGAAGGCUGGCAGUUGCAUGAAGGCUCUACAGCGGGGCUGAGCAGACUCUGUGGGUAAGCGAGGGCAUGCAUGAAGGCCGAAUCCUCACCGUCUCCCCGGGUAACGGUUUAAGUUUGCCCUCGCGAGCGGCUGCUUUUAUCUCCUGCAGGUCCUUCUCUAGAUUCUGUACGACGCUCAGUGCGGAGUCCAUCUCCAAAGGUCCACAUGCCUCCUGAGCCUGUGGCGGUGAGCAGCACAGGGAGGCUGUAUUCCUGGGCCGCAGAUUAGGCUACUCUACGACUUCUCCCCAUCCCAGCCGUCUAUGUGCUGCGCCUUAUGUUCCACAGCUAGAAAUGGCUGCCCUACCUUCUGGGCAGCAGUGCGGAGCUCGGCCAGGGCAGUGCCUAGGUUCUUUGCACACUGACUCAGCUGCAUCGCUGAAGCCUGGUCCUGAAUUGUUGGCACUGAGGCCUUUGCUGCUGCCACCAUCUUCCCACCUGGCUGUUGGAGAACACAUAUGCAAAUGAGGUAUGUCACCCUCCCUCUAGCCUUUGAAUAUACAUUGGUCAGGAUGUAGUAAGCACUCUGUCGGGUUUGGUCUUGGCUAAUAGCAGAUAUUCAGGUUGUGGGGAAUGUAAGGUUAGGGAAACAUAGGAGGGAGGCUCUGGUCUUAGGAGUGGAGUGUCUUGCCUGCAGGAAGCUCUGGCUGGCAGCAAUGAGGGCGAGCUGAGCACUAGGGCUGUCAGGUUGAGCUUGGCUUCCUCGGACACCCUGCACCAGCAAUGGAAUCUGCUCUGCCACAGCCUGAAGGACAGAAGGUCAUGAAUACCUCCUUCUGGAACCCCUCUUCUCACCCCUCCCCACUCCCACAUACCUCUUGGAGACUUACCUUACAGCUCUGUACCAGUAGUGGCUGGGGGCCUGCAGAGGCCUUGGGGGCAGAGGCUGCAUGCUGUGCUGCAGCGAUGGUCUGUGUAGCAGAGGCUGCAGCUUGUUUGGCUGCAUGCUGGGAAGACAGAGUAAUCAGAAGGCCAGGCACUCCCAGGCCCUGGCCUACCAGGCCCUCAGUGUACCCUAAGGAAACACUGGCUUGACCCAUCCAUCCCUGGCACCCCUCCCUCUGUCUCCAUGCCGGCCCCUGCCCAGAUCACCAGCCUUACCUCCAGACGCUGCACCAACUUCUUCUUGAUGGCAUUCUGUGCAGCUGCAUUGGUGGCCAUGCGGAGCCCCUCAGCCGCUUCACGUAGUCGCUGCUGCUGCUCCUCACUGUCGGGGUGGGCGGCUGCUCCCUGAGAGGAGACACAACCAUUAUCCAUCAUUAUUUUGAUUUCAAAACGCACUCUUUUCUGACUUCUCUAAAUCCAGUUUAAAGCUAAUCUGUUUUCCUGGUCUAAUUUCGAAUUACCUUCACUGAGGCUUUAACUGCCGAGAGCUGAAAACUGUUUCAGAAAGGACAUGUUGUUGGAAGUCCCGGGGUACUUAAUUCCCACUAGGAUGUGAAUCUUUCAGUGGAACUCUUGCCUGUCCUACAGAAUCUUCAGAAUUCUGUACUAACCAGUGUGAGCAGGAGGGCCUGGGAAGGGGAAGAAGACUCUCUGGAGAAGGGACCUCGGGGGACCUUGGUGAUGCCUUCUGAUGGUCUUUAUACCUAGUGUGUCAAUGUCUAAUGUGACCUGACUCUGUAUGGCUACUGGAGACCCUUGGACCAAAAGGCUAUCCGCCUUCACAGGGGACCAAGAGCAGAUACAAGCAGAUGUGGUAGCAACACAAGGGAAGUGGGAACAGCAGAACUUCAACAUGAAAGAAAAACAGAAUGUGGACCCUUAUGGUCAGAGUCCACCGGAGUCACAGGGCUAGAUGCCUGGCUGGUGGCCCAGCUGCGGGCUGGGAGCCAGGACCUUCCUUGGGAGUUGUUUCCUUAUCUAGUCUCUUCUACUUCCCACUCUCCUUGGUCAGCCCAUCAGACAAGGUCCUCGCUACUUCCCUUCAGGGUCCAGUUUAGGGUCUGUACAGAAAACUAUUCCUACCUUGGCCGCCUCCACCAUCUUGGCGGUGGCAUCAGCAAGGAUCUUGGCAGCACUCAGGAGCUUCCUAGAGUUCUCCAGAUCACUCUCCCCCUCAGCAUCGGCCUUGAUAGCAUUGACCAGGUCUGAGGUGGCUUGGGCCAGGAUGCGGGCCUGUCGCACCAUCUCCCCUGGAACACAGGAUAGCCUCAAUAAGAAAGCCAGAGAUACUGAAAGAGACAGACGAUGUAGUCUGGGCUUUCAGGGACAGAGAAGAGAUGGGCAAAGGUCUCAAACGAUUUCCUGAGAGGAAGGGCAGUUUCCAGCUAGUAUUUCUAGUACAUGUCUUGAGAGGAUGAGGCAGUCUUCUUUGAAUGAUUUGAGGUAGGUGAAGUGGAGAAGCUACUGUCCCUCCUUUUCUUCCUUGUUUUCAAGCCUAGUGAGCUCUCAACCAUGCAACGUGCCACCUACUGCUGGGCAUAACCUGGUAUCUUUUUGUAAAUACUCUAAGGAAGAUAGCACAAGUCUUGUGCUUCUUUCUGCUUUACCAAUGGGAAGUGGAGGCUCUCCAUUCAACAAUGAGCCUAGAGAUACACAGCUAGAGUAACUAAAGGCCACUGUGCUGAUCCUCAGAGGCUGGGUGGCCAGGUCUGUAAGGUAAAUGUCCAGUGGUCUUGGGGUACCCACCCUGGGACUUUUGUCUUCCUGGAGGUGAGUACUCUUACCAGCAUCACCCAUGGAGCUGAAGAUAUUUUCAGUGACAGUGAGGAUGGUAUCAGUGGCUUGGUCGUAUCGACCAGCAGGCCCAGCCCCUGUGGCAUGGGCCUUCACAUGCUGCAGCAGCUCAUUGAGGGCCUGGGUGACAGCUGUGGCUGCUGCUCCUACCCCUCGCAACAGUUGUCCGUCUUCUGUAGCUGCUUGGGAGGCAGACACACAGCCCUCCACAGCCUUGGCCACCAGUCGUCCCGCCUCUACCAGCUGUUCCUGGCAGACAGGUGAGCUGAUCGUAGGAGCUACCACCUGUGGGAAAAGGAUUUCAGAUGUGCAGGUAAGAGAAGGAGGCUGUGAGAUAGGUCUUUGUGGUUUUCACAGUAGUCACUGGGAUGGGGGUGAGGCCUUAGAGUCAGAGAUAAAACGAGCAGUUUGUAUGCAUAUUAUCCAGAGGCAAAGGACACGGCAAAUCUGGGCUCACCUUGGUGCAGGCCACUAGUUGGGAAGUGGACAGGGCACACUGUGUAGCUGCAGCAAUAACUUGGGUCUGAAGCCCUGAAUCCUCUGUGCGCUGGGCCACACUCUUGGCCUUGAGGACCAGGGCGGCUGCAGCACUAGCCACUGCCUUUGCUAGCUGCAUCAGAAUAUCCUGGGAGAGAAAGCAGCCAGUCAGGUCUGAGACUGAGCCUGCGGUCAUGGACACUUCUCAUUGGCUUAAGCUGCUUCAUUAUUCCCAUUGACUCCAAUCAGAGGACAGUAUAUGCACAAGCAGUUAGAACCUCUCCCAAGCCCCUCUACCUUGAGCACCCAGAAGGAGAGACACUCACCGAGAACAAACCCUCACCAAUAGAAACAGAAUCUAUACCAAAGGGAGAGAUGCAUGAGGCGGAUACACUCGGACAGUGACGGGGAAGGAGGAAUAGGUGGUUCAAUGAGGGGGGUGCUUCAUGUCUCCAUGCUGCUCAAUCUCAGUGUGCAAGGAGUCAUCUGCAGUUUUUGGAGCAAGACCCUGUCCUACCCUAUCUGAUCUCUUUUCUUCAAUCCUGUCAGUCUAGGCCUCCCCAACUCCCAUCAUGUCUGCUCCCCUAGGGGGUUGAGGAAGAGGCAUGGAAGCGAGUGUAUGCGGCUCAGAGAGGACCAAGCUGGGAAGGCCCAGGCCAGAGACCGUUACCGUAGGGGAAUCGGGGGGAGAUGGAGCCCCAGCCCCUCUGGGUACAAACAUCUGUAUGGGAAAUUCAGGGUGAAAAGUCAGCUGAGGCAACUUGCCUAGGGUAGGGGAAAGGAAGGGGGCAGCUAGAGGGACAUCACCUUCAAUGUGGCGAGGGUGUCUUGAGAGAGCUUAAAGCUGGGGCCAUGACUAUGUACAGGGAAGUCGGGGCUAAGGACAUCAUCGAUAAGUGCCAAAUUGAACCAGGAGAUUAUAUCUGUAUUUAGGAGUUCUGAAUUCUUACACCCGAGAGAACAGGCGCUUUCAGUACUGUAUCUGGAAGCAUGAUCGGGCUGGUCUGGAUGGGUUACCUCACAGAAAAAGGGGCUAAGUAAGGUCUAGAUUUCGGAUCAGAGAUCACCUCCUAGGAGUGGGGGCUCUGGGAGCUGGGUUUAUCACCAACCUGGAAGUGGGGGUCAGUGUCACUCUCCCCAAUUUGCUGCAACAGCUCCCCACUGGCCUGGCCCACGUUCCCAGCCGCCUGCAGCAGGUUCUGACGGGGCUGUGGAGAAUGGACACCUGUCAGAAGCUGCGUGACGCUGGCCAUGUGCCCACAGGUCUCACUAGCUCCUGGGCAGCACUUCCUUCUUGGGGUGGAACCCUGUGUCCACCCUCACCACAGCCCUGUGGCCUCUGACCUCAGCACUGGCGGGCUGAGCGCUGCGAAGCAGUUCUGACACUGCCCCUGCAAGGCCCUUUGCUGCUUGCAGAAGGGGCCGGCCAUUGCCACCUUCAUCCUCCAGCAGGGCAGCCAACAACUUCACUCCACGGGACAUCUCCGUCAGGUUGGAAGAGAUGGUGGUGACUGCACAGCCCACUGCGGUAUAGUCUGUCUCUGCAGGGUCUCCUAAAGACAGAGAGCAGAGGAAGACGCUGAGAUGGAAUGGGGAGGCACCAUUGCAACUAGAGGUGGACACACCCACAACCUGCCACAGCGCGUCACGGCAGUCACACAUUCGCAGCCUACCUGCUGUCAGGUUUACCACGGAGGCAGUGCCAGCUGUGAUGGCAUCUACCUGGGAGUGGAUCUCAUGCUUUGAUUCAUCCAUCUUGUUCUUACGCCAAGCUUUGGAGGCCUGAGGGAAAAGGCAGACCCUUAGGCCUAUUCUGGUUUAAUCCCCCCUCUCCUCCUUACAGUCCCAGCUGGAACCACUUGGCUUCUUCUCUACCGCAUACUCACAGCAUCCUGGCCCAGAGGGGGCAGAGCAUCAAAGUCAUCAAGAGCAGCUUGGGCGGCCUGCACAGCCUGCAUGCUGGAGUUAAUGGUUCCAGUGAGCGCCUGCUGGGCUGAAGUCUAAAAGACAGAGAAGAGGAAGAGACAGAAUGGGGCAUCCAAGAAAGCAAAGAUCAAGUAAAGGUUGGGGGAGGAGUAUAAGGGCUGCUUACUCGUGACACUUAGGAUAGGGACCUGUGUGCCAUGACACAGGUGGGAGCGUUCUUACCAAAGGUGGCAUGUGUCCGCGGUGCAUCUGGCCACUGGUAACCUGCUGCUGGGCAGGCGGCAUGCUCCCCACUUGGAAAUUCUCAGGGCCAGAGGCUCCAGAGCGCAUGAUGGCUGGUAGGGCCACAGAGCCAUGCUCUGCUUUCCCCACUCGGUUGUAUUGCUGCUGAAGGACUGUUGACCUGGGGACAUGAUGAGCAGUUACAAUGCCUCUGCAGUGUAGGAUCUAGGGCAGGGCUUCUCAACCUUCCUAAUUCUACCACCCUUUAAUACAGCUCCUCAUGCUGUGGUUACCAUACCAAAACCAUAUCCCCAACCAUAACCCCAAUACCCAACCAUAAAAUUAUUACAUUGCUAGUUCCUAACUGAAAUAUUACUACAAACUGUUAUACUGUAAUAUUAUUAAUUGAAAUACUGCAAUAAAUUGAAAUGUCUUUUACAUUUGAUAUGCAGGUUAUAGGAUAUGUGACUCCCCCUAAAGGGGUCAGGACCCACAGGUUGGGAACAGUUGAUCUAGGGAUUAAUGAACUCUUGUUAAUAAAGCCUGAGCCGGGGCUGGGGAUUUAGCUCAGUGGUAGAACGCUUACCUAGGAAGCGCAAGGCCCUGGGUUCGGUCCCCAGCUCCGAAAAAAAGAACCAAAAAAAAAAUAAAAUAAAAUAAAGCCUGAGCCAAGGGAAGAACCAUGUGCUGGAGCAAUGGCUCAGCAGUUAACAGGACCUGCUGGGUUGGGGAUUUAGUUCAGUGGUAAGGCCCUGGGUUCGGUACCCAGCUCCGAAAAAAAGAAAAGAGGAAAACAAAAAAAAAAAAAAACAGGACCUGCUGUUCUUGCAAGGACCAGAACCCACAUCAGACAGCUUACAACCACUGUUCCAGGACACAGGGACUCCAGUUCCAAGGGACCCAACACCUGUUCUGGCCUGCAAGCACCUAAGUGUGCCCAAACUGUUCAAAGGAUGUAGUCAAGCCGUACUUUCCCUACUCAAGGAACGACAUCAGCCCAACUCCCUUCCUACUUUUUGGGAGAAACUGAGUCCUCCAACAUAGUAGACUCUUCAUCUCCCUCCAGCCCAAAAUGGUCCUUGCUUUUUUUCUGUAAGAAGGAAAAAGGAAGAAGAGUUGAGGCCAUUAAAUAAGAGGCAGUCAGCCAUUUUCUAGAACUUGGGUCCUGUUUGUAGAGGACUGGCUCAGGGAGCAGAGGGCCUGAGAAUGCUCUGUCAGGCUGGGUGGAGGCACUCACCUUCUUAAGGAUGAUGUCGAUGUAGCCAGCAAUGAGCUGUGCAAUCUGCUCCCCUUCAGUCGUCUGUACUGAGUAGUAGCCAUCCUGGUAGUCUCCAAAGUCCUACAGUGACAAGGUGGGGACUGAGCAGCAUGGAAAUGGGGAGGAGGAAAGGUGCCACGUGCACUUGAUAUAGACACUGUCUGUGCCGCCGACCCUGUAGGAACCCGGCCCAUCAUCCUUCAACCAUUAGAUUGAUUUAUUUAUAUAUGUGAGUACACUGUAGCUGUCUUCAGACACACCAGAAGAGGGCAUCUGAUCCCAUUACAGAUGGCUGUGAGCCACCAUGUGGUUGCUGGGAAUUGAACUCAGGACCUCUGGGAGAGCAGUCAGUGCUCUUAACCUCUGGACCACCUCUCCAGCCCCACCAUUGGUUUAUCUCCCUCUUGAGGGGAUAUUUUGCGCGGGCAGUGGCCUUUCUGCUACAGUUUCAUACACAUGUCAUUUAGACUCUUCACUCCUCCCCAGAGGAUACAAUUGGGAAAACAUCAGCGAGUUUAUUAAAUCACCGUCCUUGAAGACUGGCAAAAACAUCCAAAGUAGAAAACAGCAUCGAUCAUUUCUAUUUUCAUUAUGUGGUACUCUAUCAAAUUGGUAUCAGUUUUAAUUCAUAACCUCAGAACUAGAAAACCGGAGGGAAAGAACAACUGUAAACAGCUGGUGCUGAAGAAGGGAGGCUUGUCUUUCUAUUAGCUUGUCCUUACACGUCAUGAAACCUCAGCUUGCUGGCUACAGCUAUGUUCUGUCAACUUCCUUUUAUUUGCCUUUUUGACACUGGCUGGUCUGAUCCUCACUAUUUAGUCCAGCCUAGUCUCAAAUGCACAGCAAACCCCUUUGCCUUGGAGUGCUAAGUGCUGGGGUUAUACACAUAACCACGCCCAACUUGCUUUUCUUCUCUUUCCCUUUUUUAAAAAAUAGUUUUACGUAUGUUGUGGUACUAGGGACUGAAGUCCCUUUACAUAUGCUAGGCAAGUGCUUUAUCACUGAGGACACAACCCCUGUGGUAGUUUGAAUGAGAUACCUCCCCGUCCUCACCCCUCCCCCAGUCUCAGGCAUUUGAUCAGUUGGCUGUACUGUUUAGGGAAGAUGAGAAGGCAGGUCCUUGCUGGAUAAAGUAUGCCAUAGGGGGCAGGCUUUCCCCAGUUUGCUCUCUGCUUCCUACCUGCAGUUUAAAAUGGGCGUCCUCAGUUCUUCCUGCCUCUAUGCCUGCCUGCUGCCCCACCUCCCACACUGUGAUGGUGAUGGGCUCUCAACCCACUAUGAUCAUAAACCCUCCUCUGUAAGCUGCCAUAGUCAUGUUGUUUUAUCAUAGCAAUAGAAGGUAACUCUCCAAGCUCUGCUGAAUUUAAAGAGUGCAUCGGUCACCUAGCCAUCAACACACUUCAUUCUCUAAGAGCUUCUCCACCUCCUCUAACCUCCACGUCCCACAACUCUGUUCUGGAGUCAUAUUCAACGCACUCUGCCCUAAAGGAGGGGGAAAGACCUUUGUACUUGCGCUUCUUGAACAACCCCAAGGCCUUUCCCACUGGAAUCCUAGCACCCACCAAAGUGAAGCUCUUGGGAGAGGCAGCCCAGCGUUUGAUGUUGGUGAGGCUCCAUUCCUGGAUCACCUCCUUGGUCUUCUCAUCCACACGCAUCACACAUUCCUUGGUGAUGCCCAACAGCCUGGGCACUAGUUUAUUCUUCCCCUUCAUCUUUUCCUGUGAGACAGAGGUUGGAAUUGGUGUUAUAGGUUAAAGGUCAAAUGUGAUCAGCUCUAGACCACAAGGGGAUGCUGCCGUGGCCAGGAGGGCUAAGCUACUGUGUUCACAGGCAGGCUCAGGACAAGGGACAGAGGCAUAGCCUAGGGAAAGGAGGGAGUGACAGCAAUGGAGGAGUGACAAGAGACAAGAUGUACAUGGUCAGAGGACGUCACGAUGGGAAAGAAUGAAGCCAAGUCAAGGAGUUCAGGGAGACAGGAAAGGGAAGAAUGACAUAAGGCAGGCAGGAAGAAGGGUCAGAACUCACCUUCACUAGGAAGAAGGAGACACCGUAAGUCUUGAGGGAACGGGCCAGCUUCACAUAGCGUACCUUGGCCUCAAUUUCACUCAUCUGCCCACAAUUUUUGUGCGCCUUCAAGUAGGAAAGGGGGAAAAGUUAGCCGUAUGGGGCUAAUGUCACAAUGCAGGAGACAAGCUAGGAUGUUAACUGUAAUGGCAGAGGAUUAUGGGCACACAGAAGGGUUUAGGAAGGCACGAGAUGAGGAGAUGCAACGUGGGCUGGCUAAGGAGCAGAAGCAACAAUGUAAGAAAUGCGGUUAAGGAACUUGCAGACGGUCUGCAGACGGUACUAGAGAGUUAAGGAGUAGGAGAGUCCAGGAUCAUCAGAGCUCAAAGGAGAAGGCCUUUGGGGCUGAGUAUUCAGUCGGGUAAGACUUUACAUUCACAGUAGUUUCAGGUGAAAUAGCUCAGUGAUGCUCCUAUCCGGCUUCCACAGAGAAAACGCAAGGAAAAUACCAGGCUGAGCCAAGCAUGGUAACUCAUAUUCACAAUCCCAAUUCUCAGGGGGCUGACGUAAGAGGAUUGCUGUGCACUAGAGGCCAGCCUGGGCCUCAAAGUGAGACCCAGUCUCAAACAAAAAGCAAAACCCAAAAUGGAAAUUCCCCAGCAAAAUUGCUGAUGAGCUGGGACUAAAAUCCACAUCUUCUGCUUUCUUUGCAUAAGACAGGUAGGAGAACAGCUCGGAGGGUAGAAGCGAGGUGAGCAGAGAUGGAGAAGGUAGGGUCCACUUAGCCAGGAGAGUCAAGCAGCCAAGCUCCCAGGUCAUCCCAGACACUUUCCCCUACCCCAUUCACCUGAAAGAUCUUACGCUCUCCCUUCUGCUUCACAUACUCCUUGGGCAGGAAGUCCUUCAGGCUACACCAGAAAAGGGAGGGUCAGCAUGGAGUGGAUAGCAUCAGGGGCAUGUGGGCCAUGAACUGUGGGCCUAGAGGUUUGAGGAAAUGUCUAGGACAGUAUCAUCUCUGAGAAAGACUGAGGAGACUGGUCUGCACUGGCUUCUGCAAGACUGGGGACUCAACAUGAGCUCCUGAGUGAACUGUGCUUUCUGUGGGAAGGGAACUGAGGAAACUUAAAUUGAAGGCUUAGUUUUCUGAGAAAGAGGGAGCCAAGAAGAGAGAAAGCUCCCUACAAGGAUGACCAUGCACUUAGGAAACUAAGAAAGUCUCAUUAAAGUCUUUGGAUCCUGAGAAAUACCAGUGAAUGUGAUUUGGGGACCCUUUUAAUUUAAUGUUUCCUGCAAGGAAAAUGUCCUAUUUUACUUUGGCUGAUAGAACAAAUUCCCAGAGAAUCUAAAACAAACAAAAGCCAGUUCCGGGGGAAAGGGCAGAGACACUGAACAUUCCCACUUUGAUGGGGUCAGUGAGGAGACAAAGGACGGUGGUGGCUGAGAGGGUGAUGAUCUGCGGGUGUCAACCCUCAGACCUUGAAAGAGGAAAUCAGGGAAGAAGGCUUGGGGUGCAGACAGGUCAUUGGGUCACAGUGGUAAGGGAGUCUCAAGCCAUAACAUGGACGUGGCUCACUUACUCAAGGAAGCCAGCCUUGUGCUUCUGUUCAUUGUGAGGUCCAAACUGGAUCUGGCAUUGGAAGCCUGCAAACUCACAGGCCUUGUCAAAGGAGACAGGGUGGGAGCCGUUCAGGAUGUCAUCUCGUGCCUGGAGAUCAUAGAAUGCCAGUGUAUGGGCAGGGAUUUCCCUGUUAACUCUGCCCAACCCCACCUCACCAGCCAACUCUUCUCCACACCUGCACAUAAAGAAGGUUCAGCUGUACAGGGUCGCGGGAGUCCACAUUCUGGUCUGAGUAGAAGAACUUUCUCCGCAGCAGCAACGUCUCAUGCUCUUCCACUCCCUGUUCCCUCAGUGUCCGCCCAUGGUCCAGCCAGUUCACUGGAACACAGAGCAUAGGACCCUUUGCACCAACCCCACAUAGUCCCUUGUUGCCCAGUGCCUGAGUUUUUACUUCUUCAGUGCCGGCCUUUCCUCAUAGAAGUGUAAGUUGCAUGACUCAGGGUAAAUAGGAAAUAAAUGGCUGCCCUUCCUCUCCCUACAUUUCCCAGGACGCGUCUCUGCUUACACUCAUCGUCUGUGUGCAACUUCUGCUUUAGUUUCUCCAUCUUCUUUUCAUCUCGCAACAGGGUCUUGUCUUUUCUUAGGGUCCCUGUCCCCUCAUCCUUCUUUUCUUCCAUCAGCUCUCGAACCAGUGAAUAUUCGUCAUGGUUGGUGAUACCUAGGGAAAAGGGAAGGUUUGGUUAACUCCCCAACCAUAGGUCUUUUGACAGAGUGGGAACCUCCUGGCCCAGGCUGUCACUACCAAGACCCCUUACCAAUUCGGGCACAGAUAGUCAUGAGCAUGUCUGUGACAGUCUUGGAGUCAUCCACCAUGAUAGUCUUCACAGUUCCAUCUAACAUCCGGAUCUUCAGGGGUCUCUGUUUUUUUCUGUACUCCAUGGUGUCCUGUUGGGGCAGGGAGAGGUGGUCAGGGCCUAUUUAAACUGGUUCUCUUUCCCCAGCCAAGGAGAAGGAAAGGAAAGUAAAUUACUAAGUGGAAGACUACUCCAAAAGGAGGCCAUUUUGACUGCCUGUGUCAGAAAGCCACAUGUGCUGGCCCGGUAUGUGAAAAGCCCAGGGUUCAGGGAAGGAGCUGGUAUGUGAAAAGCCCAGGGUUCAGGGAAGGAGCUGGUAUGUGAAAAGCCCAGGGUUCAGGGAAGGAGCUGGUAUGUGAAAAGCCCAGGGUUCAGGGAAGGAGCUGGUAUGUGAAAAGCCCAGGGUUCAGGGAAGGAGCUGGUUUGAGGAAGGAAGAGAGAGGAGGAGCAGACACAACAUGGGUGCUGGGAACAAGUGAGACAGCAGGUAGAGAGCACGUGGGUGGCCAAUGAUGAUGGAGUUACUCACCCCAUUUCGGAGCAUGUAGUAGUCCAGAGCUUUCCCAGCCUCGAGCCAGAUACCUUUUUUGGGGUCAUCAUCUGACAGAAAUAGCCCAAAGUCGCUGGCUAAAAGAGAUGGUAGAUCACCUUAGACUUACAAAAACUUCACUGUGGCCAAACAGCCAGACCUCUCUCUCCCAUGAUCUUGGAGCACAGGUCUGAGGGGUGAGGAACUUAGAACACAAUGGGGACACUGCUCAAGACCAAGAGAGUAAGGGAUGAAGGAUUCCUGCCCCCACCACCUCAGUAGUCAGACUCACGAGGGCCAGCCAGGGCCUCUGGGAUCCGCUCACGAAUCAUGCGGCAGGCAUCGUACACCAUGGUAGACGGCUCAAACUGCAUCGUCUUCACCACGUUCCCAAUGCUGAUCCUCAGCGAAAGCGCAACCAUGGUGGCAGCUUCUGCUCUUCGGCCUGGCGAUACCUGGCCAGCAGCACCAGAGCAUUAGAACACACCCUCAGUGGAGUGACUCAGAGUCCCAGAGAGACUUUUAAGGGAAUCACCAUGACAGAAAACAAUAGUAAGUUCUUUUGUCCUAUGAAUUUCAAAAGGUGAAGACCACUUAAGACAUCCCAGAGAGAAGCUGGUCGGUCUCUAUAGAGACAAUAGCAGGCCUGAGAUGCAGUGUCAGCUGAGGACACUGUCCUGCCUGCACCACUGGAAUUCGUGCCUCUCUGGUUCCAAGUGCCUUCCUCGGCCUCUUGUUUCUGUUCACGUCUUUCCCCAACCCGCCUCUGCCUUGUCUUUUCCUUUUCCAGGGUCAGUUUUUUCCUUUUCCCUGCCCUGGGAUUUCAGGGAUUUCAGAGCGCGACGCUGACCUCAUGUGGCCUUCCCUCUUACAGGUUCGCCUUCUUCUUGGCAAAGUGCAGCAUCCCGGGGGCUCCUGAGUCCUGCAAACUUCCUGUGGCAGCAUGCCAGGGAGACCUACUUGUAUCCCUGCUUUCUUCCAACCUGAAUCACGGGGAACCUUUCCAGCAGUGGGACAGACCUGGCUGUGGAGAGUGAGGGCUGGUCAGAGAAGCAGAGUCCAAGGAACCAGAGCAGGACUGAAGGACUUCAGCCUAAGCUGAAAGUGCAUGUGUGCCCCUCCGCCCCCAUUU